rnacentral:rRNA from 1 species
AGUGAACGCUGGCGGUAGGCCUAACACAUGCAAGUCGAACGGCAGCACAGUAAGAGUUUGCUCUUACGGGUGGCGAGUGGCGGACGGGUGAGGAAUACAUCGGAAUCUACUUUUUCGUGGGGGAUAACGUAGGGAAACUUACGCUACUACCGCAUACGUCCUACGGGUGAAAGCAGGGGAUAUUCGGACUUUGCGCGAUUGUAUUAGCCGAUGUCGGAUUAGCUAGUUGGGGAGGUAAAGGCCCACCAAGGCGACGAUCCGUAGCUGGUCUGAGAGGAUGAUCAGCCACACUGGAACUGAGACACGGUCCAGACUCCUACGGGAGGCAGCAGUGGGGAAUAUUGGACAAAGGGCGCAAGCCUGAUCCAGCCAUGCCGCGUGAGUGAAGAAGGCCUUCGGGUUGUAAAGCCCUUUUGUUGGGAAAGAAAAGCAGCAGGUUAAUACCCCGCUGUUCUGACGGUACCCAAAGAGUAAGCACCGGCUAACUUCGUG